CAUCCUGUGGAAAUAAGGGGGUCGUUAUGGAAAAGGGAAGGACAUGAGGAAGGAAUUCCAGAUUUAAACAGUUGAGAGUGGGCAUGCAGUGAGGUACUCUGAGAAACAUUUAAUCAGUGCCCUUUCCUCAGGGUACAUGAGACGGUCAGAGCUGGCCAGCUGGCCUUCUGACACUCCAUGACACAGAGGGAACCCCAUCCAACUCCGCUUUUCAUCCAUCUAUUUUUGAAUCCUUUCAACACUUUAUGAGAGAGGAGGGGAGAACAACAGAACAGGCCGGCAGGCGGUGUUUAACCCCACAACCCUGCCAUAGAGCCUAAAAGCUUGCGAGUAAAUACAAUUUCUUUGGCACCUUGUAAAAAAACAUGAACAAUGCAUAUCUCACCAUGUUAUUAGUCUCCAGAUUCCACGCUCCAGCAUACUUACACAUUUACAGAAAAGAGAGACAGACAAAGAGAGUACUGUGCUGAGAUGUGCAGACAGAAGAAUUUGGGAUUCAAGCCACAACAAUAUUAAUGAGGAAAGGGAGGGUAGGGCAGCCCAGUGAACAAUGAGCUGCUCUCAUCAGUUUUGAAAGAGACAGUGGAGAAGACACACAAACAUUCCUCAUUUCUUGCCUUGGCUGGAUAACUCGGCUGCAAAAGGAAAAGAAGAAUUGGAAAAACAGUACUUAUUUGUGUUCACAGGAGACAGAUGUCUUGAGUCACUGAGAUUUAGCACUCAAUUCCACAAGCAUAACAAAUUAAAGCACCCUAAGAAGAGAAUGCUAAGGAUGUUUGAAUACACAUGUGUUCUUUUCUCAAAGGAAAUAAUUUGAUGAAACCAAUUAUUAGAAAGAAGACAAGCAUAAGAUUAAAAGCACACAGCCUUCCAUUUGUGAUGCACACAAAAAAGGGGACCAGGCAAUGAAAGAGUUAAUUGGCCUACCGGAUUGGACUGCGCCUAGUUUAUCAAAAUCCAGCCCCAUCCCCAUGUCACCCAGCCCACUACCGCACAAAGGGGAUCAGUCCUGGAGGUAAAUGAUGAGCCUCAGACUAACAGCCUAAGCCCAAAGCUCUGGCUACAAGUCCACAGGUACACACAGCAUUCCCUCGCUUGUCAACACUGCUCCUCCUUGGAUCUCAGUGGAACAGAGGGUCGGGAAAUGGGGUGACCUUCCAGUCAGAUUCUCACAACAAUGAGAGUCAUCUGCCAACCUGCAGCUCAACUGAGAAUUAGACUAUGAGAUAAGGAAACUUCAUUUUGCUAGAUUUUCUUGCGUGGCUCCUAUUCUUAAAGAUAUCCCAGUUCUAGAAGAAAACCAGAACUUUCCUCCAAAUUGCACAAGUGAAGUAUAUUAGGGCUUGGUCAACAUCAAGUGAAUUUUGACCAAAAAUGGGGAGGGUGCGAGAAUGUGGGUCUAUUUGGAAUUUAUUUAUUAAUUUAUUGUUAUUUAUUUAUUCAUUUUGAGACAGAGUCUUGCUCUGUCACCCAGGCUGGAGUGCAGUGGCGCGAUCUCGGCUCACUGCAACCUCCACCUCCCUGGUUCAAGUGAUUCUCCUGCCUCAGCCUCCCAAAUAGCUAGGACUACAGGCAUAUGCCAUCACAUCCAGCUAAUUUUUUUUUAUUUUUAGUAGAGAUGGGGUUUCACCGUAUUGGCCAGGCUGGUCUCAAACUCCUGACCUUGUGAUCCACCCUCCUCAGCCUCCUAAAGUGCUGGGAUUACAGGCAUGAGCCAAUGCACCUAGCUAGUUUUAUUUUAUUCUUAUAUUUGCGGCACACAGGUGACAAGAAGAAAGAAUGUUAGAAACAGUGAAUAGUAAAAAAUAUUUUAAAGUUUUAUGGGUUGGGCACUGUGGCUUAAGUCUGUAAUCCCAGCACUUUGGAAGACCAAGGCAGAAGGAUUGCUUGAGCUCAGGAGUCUGAGACGAGCCUGGGCAAUAUAGCAAAACUCUGUCUCUACAAAAAAAUUUAAAAAGAAAUAGCCAGGCAUGGUAGUACACACCUGCAGCCCCAGCUACUAAGGAGGCUGAUAUGGGAGAAUUGCUUGAGCCCAGAGGUCAAGGCUGCUGUGAGCUGUGAUGGCACUCUGCACUCUAGCCUAGGUGACAGAACAAGACUCUGUCUCCAAAAAAAAAAAAAGUUUUAUGAGUCCGGAUUAGAACAUCAACCCCAGAAACAGUAAAUAACCUAUUCCUUAAACUCAGUUCUCAAGGUACAAAUAAGCUCAUUGGAGAAGCAGCUCAUUUUGAUAUCAUUGGUUAAUUCAAUGCCUAGCCUUUCACAGGGCACCCAUGACAGUGCCAGGGGAUAUAUGCCAGACAAAAAAACUAAAAUGAACAGCCCCUCUCUAGUAGUCAGCAACAGCAAAACUUUCAGGUGAACUCAUCUGGUUUCAGUGAGCAUGUUUACAGACUAAAGGAUUCUAGAAACAAAUCACUUGGGCUAGCACACACCAAAGGGACUGCUGGGCACGCUGAUAAUGGCUACAGAGAGGUAAGCAAAAGACCAUUUUGAUUUGAGCUCAGAUUUACUUUUACUGUCAGCUCAAAUGUCCCAUAUGUGAUUUCUUCUUGUCCAAAGAUAGAAAUCAGCUUCAGUGAGUUUCUAACUUAUUUCAGCUAUUGCCAUAUAUGGUACCAGGGAUGCAUUACAUCAGCCAUGAGCCUUCCCAGGGCUUUGACCCUGUAGAGAGCACACUUCCCCAGAGGAUCAACAGUGCACUCAGAUCCAAAGGUCUCCUGACUUGGGGCUUCUUUCAGUCCUAAAGCAUUGUUUUAUAUUGUAAACACAAUACAACACACAGGCAGGAACCACAUAGGCAGUUUGCAUUCUGUCCAGUUGACUACAAAUGAAAUUCUAUGUAUCUUUUUAGAAGGUGGAUCAGUGAAAAUAUGAGGCUUGUGGAAUAAGCUGGUACAUUAAUAGUUUAUACAUUUCUAUCAACUACUAAUUCCCUUGUAUAAGCCGGUGCAUACUUACAGCUCUGGCAAUGACUAUACAGACAAGAAGUCAUGUUUCCAAUGUGUGACCUAAAGGUUCCUGAAAUUUGGAUGGCUGAUUUUACACUGAAUAUGCAGGAUAAAACCUCUUUAUCAGCAAUUUACCAGGUUCUCUUAAAGGGAACCCCAGUAAAAAGAAAAUUAUUGGAUAGUAACAGAUAAGAAAACACACAUUGUAAAAGAUAUUAUAGGGUGUCCACCCUUAUACAUUGAGGGCAGUGUUUCACACAGUGAUCUGACACGACAGAGACGCACAAUAAAGCUGUGCUAAAUAAAUGUAUUUUAAAAGAAGUUGUAUUUACUUCACAUGCUUUUAAAAUUAUCUUUUCAAAAAAGCUGUUUCAGAAGCCAAAAAGAAUUACUGAGUUACCCUUUGAACUAAGUCAUUGAUAGUGGAAGAGGACAUGCUUCUACAUUUGGUCUGAAUUAAUCAGCACCGUUUCUUAAUCUGAAUAGAGCUGAUGGCACCCAUGAGACAGCUGAAAAGGAAGUGUGUCAGUCACAGGCAGCACAUUUAUACACUGUGAAAGGGUUUAGGAAUGGGAAAACCGUGGCAAGUCAUUUACUGGACUAGUGACCUCCCCAGUCUCUGUGUCUAAUGAGGACUUCAGAAAGCCAGGCUCCUUCACAGCUCCUGGUUCUAACCAGUGACCCUGGAUGCAUAUGGUCAUACCUAGGGAGGAAAGUCAUGGCAGGUGGCAGAAAGGCUAAAUGUGCUUGUUGCUAAAUGUGUUUGUCGCCCAAGGCAGACAAUUAAGCAACCAAUUCCAUACUGGGGAAGACAGGCAUCUGGAGAGAGAGAGAAAAUCAUCUCUGAUUCAGCUUCAUUUCAGCAGCAAGUGCAACUUUACAUCCUCAGAAGCAGGAACCGGAGGAUCAUUGGAGAAGUGGGGUGGAAACUAAGAAGAACCUGCAGAAUUUCCAGACUUCUUGAUAGAGCUGGGCUGCACUGACAUUUUGCCUGCUCCUGGGCUGCUGGACUUACGGCCUGGCCACAGCUACCUGAUCUGAAUCUAAGGAUACUGUCGCUGGAGUUCUUACGGCCCAUCUCCAGAAAACAACUGAAAUAAACACAAGAUGCAUUCUUCUCUUGAA